rnacentral:rRNA from 1 species
GGAUGGCUUAGAAGCAGCCAUCCUUUAAAGAAAGCGUAAUAGCUCACUAGUCGAGUCGGCCUGCGCGGAAGAUAUACCGGGGCUCAAACUGAUAACCGAAGCUGUGGGUGUGUGUCUAUUUAUAGGCAUGCGCGGUAGAGGAGCGUUCUGUAAGCCGUUGAAGGUGGAUCGUAAGGUCUGCUGGAGGUAUCAGAAGUGCGAAUGCUGACAUGAGUAACGACAAGGGGAGUGAAAAACUCCCCCGCCGGAAGACCAAGGGUUCCUGCGCAAC